GAAACCAUCCAGGGCAACGUAGUUCGUUUGUCUUCAUUUGGAAUUUCAGAAAAGCUAAUGUCCCAAACUGUCUUCUGAACUUUUCAAACUUUCUGAACUUUUGCUGUCGAGCUUCAUCUUGUGUAAAGAUGUUAGAGCUGUGUUGAGAUUAAUAUCAACAAUCAGAAAGUAAUAUCAUGGUUCUGGUUGUCAUUAUCCUGUUUAGACACGCUAGAACUAGAUUGCCUGUGUUAAAACUUAAUGGACUAGAGAAGAGAAGCAUCCAGAAUCUUAAUGAUGGGGGCUUCCACUAUCCAGGCAUUUGCCAGAUGUCUCAAUUUCUAAACUCAGAACAUCCGAUAAAUCCACAAUUUGCCUCACUUAGUGUUCUCAGUCCUGGCUGCACAUUAGAAUAAUCCCAGAAUUUAAAAAGUAUCUAUAUCUAUAUUGAUAGGCAGGCUCCACCCUUCUAAUUAAAGCAGAAUCUCUCAGGGUAGACUUCUUUUUUAAGUGCCUCCAAGUGAUUUGAAUGUGCAGCAAGGUUGAGAAUCACUAACCCACACGAUAAUUUCAUCUUUCAGAAGGGAGAGGAAGUGAUGAAGAGGAUUAACACCCUGCUUCUAAUUCUGGCCAACUCGGAGGCCCUGCAUGGAAAAUCAGAAGUGACAAGAACCCUGGAAGAGGGCCACCUGGCCAUCAGAAAAUUCCAGAGAGAUGUGGUCACUGCCAGACACACACUUGCACCCACUGCACCGAGAAGCUGAGCGUUGACUAAAGUUAUGAUGGCUACUAGACUCUUAUCAUGAACUAACUGUGCCACACAUUGAAACUGAAAUGUGGGUCCCUUGGAGUAACUUCUUUGUUUCCUGUUUUAAGAAGAUCAGAAGACGGGAGUGAAAACAUUCCAGUAACCAAACAUGGUGGUAUCAAGCCUAAUUAGGAAUAAAAAAACAUUUCUAAAA